UUAAAUUAAACUGCAGUAAGAAGAAGACAAAGCUGAGAUCUCACAUCCUGUUUCUGUCACUUUGUUGGUGUGCACAAUGACUUCCAGCAGAUCCCCCCUCGUUCUUCUGUGGUUCAUUCACAUGACAAUCCCAGGUUUAACUGAAGGAGCUGGUGUGUUGCCAGACGGUCCUCUGAAUGCAGCUGUGGGAGAAACAGUGAUGUUCACCACAAAUCUGACUCCAGGAAAAACUAUUCAAUCAUUGGUCUGGAAGUUUGGUUCUAAAGAAAUAUUUACAUUCUUUCGUAGCAACUUCCCUGCACCAGAGUAUGAAGGCAGGAUCACCUUCUUCAUGUCUACUGGAUCUCUGGAGCUCAGGAACCUGGCUCUAACUGACAGUGGAAGAUACUCAGUUAACAUGUUAAUAGCUGGAGGAGGAUCACAGUCAAGGGACACAAGACUGGACGUAUACGAGCCAGUCUCUAAUGUAAUGGUAACCUCCAGCAGCACAGAGCUGGUGGAGUUCAACAGCUCCGUCAGUCUGUCCUGCUCCUCCUCUGGAUCCUCUCUCUCUUUCCUCUGGCUGAACAGCAGCUCUGAGGUUACAGGAAGUGACAGAGUUCAGAUCACUGAUGGAGGAUCCACUUUAACUAUAAAUAAUGUGACCCGCUACGACCAGGGACCAUUCAGCUGUCUUGUAUCUAAUCCAGUCAGUGAGGGAACCAGUGAUGCACUAAUCCUCACCAUCAACUUUCUUGAGGCACAACAAGUCAAAGUGGAGCCUGAAGUGACGGGAUACCUCGGAAAGGAGGUCACCCUGCGAUGCCAAUACAUCCCGGGACCAGAAGAUGACAUAAUCUCCCAGGUUCAGUGGGAGCUGAAGACACCAGAAGGAGAGGAUAUCCUCAUCAUUGUUUCUAAUGCUAACUCAGGAGUUAGUGUCCAGGACACUUUUCUGAAGGGCAGAGUGAAGAUUGCAGAACAAUCUUUGAUCAUUCAAGAUGUUGAAAUGAGAGAUGCAGGGUCGUACACAUGCAUCGUUACAGCUUUUCCCAGCGGUGUGUUUGAAGGAACCACCCAACUUGUUGUUAAAGAAGGGCUGGGUUCAGAAGGGCUGCCCAUAUUAGCAAAAAUAAUCACUGCAGGAGUAUUUGUGCUGAUAGUAGGGACCAUGCUGGCCACCACUUUCUUCAUCAUCAGAAAAAGAUACGGUCCAGUGCCAAGUGAUUGAACAAGAGGAGGUGAGCUGGGAGAUGGUUUCAGGCAGUGGCGACUCGUCAUUAGGGGCAGGUGCAAAGCCCCACCUAGUGUCAGCAGAAAGUAAUGAAAAUAAUAAUUCCAAAAAUAUGCAAAAAACAUAUCUUAAAAUAUAUUUUAAGAUCAUGUUUAGUCAUCUGAUUUGUCUGUACAUUACUGUUUUAGUCUGCGUUCUUCUAAUUAGUGUCAACAGUGUGCCUAUUGAGCGAUGUGGGGCAAGCCCCUCUCUCUGCUGUCAAAAUGAAUGGGUGCUGUAAAAACUACACUGCGCAUGCUCAGAGUAUUUUUCUAUUCAAUGUGUGCGGCAAAAAAUGUAUCACCAGUGGGGCAUAGUGCUGGCAACCCCACCAAACGUCAUUAGCUGAGUCAAUAUCACUAUAAAGUAACUUUGGUGUCCCCAUCAGAAUCACUCAGACAUCAUGAAAAUGUAGCAGAAUAAUUAAACUCUGAGGUCUUAUUAUAAAUGGCCAAACAUUUACACACAUAUCAGUACAAUGAUAAGUCUCUUGAAAUGUGUUUUUCAUUUUAUACCGUAUUUUUUCAUUGGAUGCAUGUGAUUUUAGCAUGUCCCACACACUGCUCUGCUAACUACAGUGUGUGUAAUAAGUGGUUAAAUGAUACUACAUUUUAAAAAUAGUUAUAUGGUUUUAUUAUCCACAACGAGUUAUUUGAUAAAACGAGUCAUUUUGAUCAUGUAUAUUCUAUUUUCAUAAUAAUAUUGAACAUUUUGCAUGUGUCCCUGUCAUUAUGGGGUAACUGCCCCUACAGUAUAGUAUAUAACUUAUAUUUCGUGUGUGUGUGUGUGUGUGUGUGUGUGUGUGUGUGUGUGUGUGUGUGUGUGUGUGUGUGUGUGUGUGUGUGUGUGUGUGUGUGUGUGUGUGUGUGUGUGUGUGUGUGUGUGUGUGUGUGGUCUAUAUUAUGUAGGAGUAUACAACAUGAGGUGUUGAAACGUUCUCCAUGACUAAGAGGUUUACAACAUGAGGUAUAGAGAAUAAAUCAGCAUUAAAGUGAACAUUUAAGAAAGAAUAACAACAUCUUUAUCCUCUACAGUCGUACUGCAGACUAUAUUAAACUCGCUGUACUCAGUCUAGUCAAACUCUGAGGAGAAGCUGCCAUUCAGGGGUUUAUCAAAGCACAAACUUUAAUUCAUCAGCUCUUAAAGAAGUGGAAGAAAAUUCCCUUUAAAAAUCAGGAAGUAAUAUCGUGACAACUGAUAACUAUUAAUUGCACAGAGAAGAGGUUUUGCAACGCACCUGCACUGGUGAACAAAAGCCACUACUUCCUAUUAUUUGUAUUUCUAAAGAACAACUUUUUAAAAAAAAAGGUUAUUUCUCCGAGUUAGAGUUCCUUGUUUGUCGGUCUUUCAGAUACG